UACGUAGGGUGCAAGCGUUGUCCGGAAUUAUUGGGCGUAAAGAGCUCGUAGGCGGUUUUUCGCGUCUGCUGUGAAAACGCGAGGCUCAACCUCGCGCCUGCAGUGGGUACGGGCAGACUAGAGUGCGGUAGGGGAGAUUGGAAUUCCUGGUGUAGCGGUGGAAUGCGCAGAUAUCAGGAGGAACACCGAUGGCGAAGGCAGAUCUCUGGGCCGUAACUGACGCUGAGGAGCGAAAGCGUGGGGAGCGAACAGG
rnacentral:rRNA from 1 species